rnacentral:piRNA from 1 species
UCUCUGUUGUACCCAGGUGAGCCUGACCAU